rnacentral:tRNA from 1 species
GGAAGCGUGGCAGAGCGGCCGAAUGCACUCGCCUUGAAAGCGAGAGUCCCGAAAGGGUCCGGGGGUUCGAAUCCCUCCGCUUCCG